rnacentral:rRNA from 1 species
AUGAACGCUGGCGGCGUGCUUAACACAUGCAAGUCGAACGAUGAAGCUGGAGCUUGCUCCGGUGGAUUAGUGGCGAACGGGUGAGUAACACGUGAGUAACCUGCCCUUGACUCUGGGAUAAGCACUGGAAACGGUGUCUAAUACCGGAUACGAACUUCAGCCGCAUGGCUAGGAGUUGGAAAGAAUUUCGGUCAAGGAUGGACUCGCGGCCUAUCAGCUAGUUGGUGAGGUAAUGGCCCACCAAGGCGACGACGGGUAGCCG